CGCUGCAGGGGUGCACAGGGGCGCACACGCGGGCCGGGGGCACCUAAGCGCCACCGGCUCCCAGCCAAGUGCCUCCAACUACCGGAGUUUGAGUUUGAAAACACACGCUGCAUUUCGCCUCUGGAGGUACAGAACAUCUCAGAAGGGGGGAAAAUCCCUGAGUCAGAUUCCUGCAUUCCACCCUGCACACUCUACCCCCAUUCCGGCGAGCUCCAACCCAGCGCGCUCUCCUCACCCUUGCAAGAGUCAGGGCCCCUCCUCCCCGGGCCACCUUAGGGCCACCUACCUGGCUCAGACAGACACAGCGCAGGUCAGACGCGCUAGACUGCACCCCCCGGGGUCCGCCUGGGGCAAGUGCAGGGACACUUAACUUAAAAAGGCAUCCGUCUGACCACACACAGCUGGAGGCUUGGAGGUGUCCUGUUUUCUAUCCGCCAGUGCAGCGUGUGGACCCUGGGCCUGGGCACACGGGAGGCUCUUCUUGGGCAGCAAAGGGAUGCUGGAGCUGCUGCAGCCAUUUUGGCACUUUGAGGGCCACCUUCCUUGGCUCAAAAUGAAAAUUUCCGUCAUCUUUUGCAGAUGCUCUGAGAGCAUCGAGAAGCUCUAAGCUCCAGA